rnacentral:rRNA from 1 species
GAUGAACGCUGACAGCAUGCUUAACACAUGCAAGUGGUGGCGUACGGGUGAGUAACGCGUAAAGAAUUGCCUCACAGUUAGGGACAACAUUUGGAAACGAAUGCUAAUACCUGAUACUGUGAGAGAGCUUUGCGUCCCAUUAGCUAGUUGUGGGGGUAACGGCUGACCAAGGCGAUGAUGGGUAGCCGGCCUGGGAGGGUGAUCGGCCACAAGGGGACUGAGACACGGCCCUUACUCCCACAGGAGGGAGCAGUAGGGAAUCGUCGGCAAUGGGGGGAAACCUGACCGAGCAACGGCGCGGGAGUGAAGAAGGGUUUCGGAUCGUAAAGCUCUGUUGUUAAGGAAGCGGUACUUAACCAGAAAGGGACGGCUAACUACGUGCCAGCAGCCGCGGUAAUUC